AGAAUCAACGCUGGCGGCGUGCCUAACACAUGCAAGUCGCACGAGAAAGUGGAGCAAUCCAUGAGUACAGUGGCGCACGGGUGAGUAACACGUGAAUCAUCUACCUCCGAGUGGGGAAUAACCUAGAGAAAUCUGGGCUAAUACCGCAUAACACUUACGAGUCAAAGCAGCAAUGCGCUUGGAGAGGAGUUCGCGGCCGAUUAGUUAGUUGGCGGGGUAAUGGCCCACCAAGACGAUGAUCGGUA
rnacentral:rRNA from 1 species